AGGGUCAGUUUGGUAAUUUCAUCGUACAGUUCUUGCAUCAUACCAAACCACCUACACCCCAUCCUCAUUUCUUCAUCCUCUGCACCCAAUUCUCAUCUAACAAACCCUAACCCUCACACCAACUCACCAUCACCUUUCCACCAUUCAUCUCCGGCACCAUCAAAUCUUCUCCACCCUAAUUUCAUCUGAGAUACCCCCAACCCACCAUCACCAUUCCACCCACCAUCUCCGCCAAUAGUAUCCUGGGACACGUGACAAGCCGCGUAUGGCGGCGACUGCACAAGACGAGAGAAGAGAGAGAAACGAAGGCCGUGAGAGAUGAGAAAGAGAAAUCAGAGACGGCGACGAUCCGCCGUCAGCGGCGGAGCCGCGGCGGCGACAACGAUGUUUGGCCGACGAUGUUUACGGUUUCGGGUUUCCGUUCACUCGAGCCUCGGGUCAGCGAUUUCGGUUCAGUCCUCAUCAAGACGACGUGGUGUCUUGGCUCGGUUCAUUUUUUGGACCCUAUCUUGGUUCGGUUCAGGUCAACUCAGCUUUGGUUCGGUUCGACAAGUCAGCAUCGGUCAGCAUUGAUUCGGGUCAGCUUAGGUCUCAGCUCAAGUGCGGGUCUCAGUGCUGCUCGGUUCAACCCGGUUCGACUCGGUAUAACACAAUUGUCCGAAAACGGAGGAAACUUUGUCCGUUAUCAGGCGAAAGUUGCAGCCAAGCGAAUGUUGCUAAACAUGGCUCCAAGUAAGGGAUGCGUGUGGCUUUGGGUGCAACAGUGGUGCUCACUUACUGUUUACUGUUGCACCGCGUGCUUCUAUUUUGGCUACAGAAGUUAAGUGGCUGAAUUCUAUCAAGGCAGACUUAGUGGUUUCAGAUGUUGUUGCAGUUGCUUGUCGUGCAGCGGCUGAUUCUGGUAUACGCUUGGUUUGUGUAACGAAUUUCAGGUUAAAUCAAGCAGAGGGCGGAACGAGAAAGACGCACACAUGGUUAUUUGUUGCUUGUUACAGGUAUUGGCAAUUAGGAGAAGGAGGUGAUGCAACUAAUCUGUCAAUAUGAGGUUCGUUUGCAAAGAUACAUAGCUAUGAAUUUAUAUUCUUAGGACAUGUUGAGCUUGAUUUCUUGAUGGUUGCGUAUGUUAAAGCACCAUGAUAACUUGGUUCUCAGUUGGCAUAACGAAUUCUCGCCAAAGUGAGACCAACAUCUAAUGUCGCGCAACGCGCGAACGGUCGAAUACCCCUAGUUACGUUUACAAGAGUGUUACUUUCUGAUUGUAUUCCCCUUUUAAGAAAUAGUUCUUGAAAUAAAUAUAAAUCAUGAAAUUUUAAGCACAAUAUAGUUUUUUUUGAAGCUUUUAUCUAGUUUAACUUUUUCAUACUAAAUAGAAAAAAAAAACUGAAAUACUCAUUAUAUUGAUUAAAUCUAUUUUAAAGUGAGCCAUUAGAUUAACACAAUCUAUCUAUUAUAUUAAAGCAAAACAAGUUUGACCAUUUGAUCAUGAUGUGGCAUGGCUAUUUAGGCAGAGAAUUGGUGUUUGAGCGGCAAAAUGGAUUUCCUCUGUUUUCCUUCACUUCUGAUGGGCGGCCAAAAAGCUUUUCCUCCAUUUUCCUUCAAUUGUGAAACGGUGUUCUUUAUAUGGAAACACCAAUCAAUCAUCAAUCCCUUCAAAAUUUUCUACAAAUUAUGAAUCCGUUUCCAUUAUUAUCGCUUCAAUAUCUUCUCCUCCAUGGCGCUUUCUUCUUCCUUCUGCUUGAAGCCUAUCUUUUUCCUUCACGGUGCUUUCCUUCUACUUGAACCUCUGCAAUCUGAAGAAAGCAACAACAGAGAGGAUGGUCGAUCUAUGUAUCGAUUCGUGGUUUUGUUUGCCCUAAAUCUAUUCUAUAUGAUUGAAAGCAAGCAUCAAAACCCUAGCACUCAUCAACGUUUUGUUCUGAAUGAAAAAAAUUGAUCAGGGUUAUGUGUGGGUGAGAUUGUCUAGGUUGCUGAGCUAUUAAGAGCAGUGGUAAUGGGAGCUUCGCUUGAAGAUGAUAGACAUCUUGCUCAACCUUAUGACAGGAUGCGACGAGAAGCAGAAGCACAAGAUCAUAAACUUUAGAUAUCUUUUUUGUAAAUGGAUUGCCUGCAAGAUCACGCCACUUCCUCAUUCGUUUGCUUCUUUGAAAUGUCUAAUGAGAUGAUCAAUUUCCAUUAUAUCCCUUCAAACCUUGACAAGGUUAAGGAUUGUCAGGUUGCUGCAGUCAAUGAUCUUUGCUUUUGGCACAGUUGAGCGGUUUCUCAAAGCUUCCGUCAUCCCGUUCUCUUAUCUCACAGAAACAGGGAUAGAUUACGUUGCAACUGACUCAGGAUCCUGCUUUAUCAAGAGGAUUCAUGUCAGCGAGAACGGUUACUGGAUUCUUGGCUGAUGUUUAUAAAACUGCUGCAGAUGAACUCGGAAAAAUACAUAUAAUUGCAGAUGAAAUGGUUCAGGGAGCGGUUUUUGAUCUUCUGGAAGAGAUUGCGAAAGAACUACUAACAAGGACUUGCCACCUGGCAACACUGUUACAAAAAUCACAAAGUUAUCUCUUGGCGACGACGACGAGAAAAGAGGAGGAGCGGGCUCAAGAUUGGAAGAAAGACGAUUCGAAAUGGGAGUUUUCAUCGUCUUCGUUCUGUUCGCCUGAUCUUUUACUCACUGAGUUUGAUCAAGUUUUCUUCGUCGAUGACGACGAGAAAGAGGAAGAGCGGGUUCAAGAUUGGCACAGUUGAGGGGUUUCUCAAAGCCUCCGUCAUCCCGUUCUCUUAACUCACACGAACAGGGAUGGACUACGUUGCAACUGACUCGGGAUCCUGCUUUAUCAAGAGGAUUCAUGUCAGCUAGAACGGUUACUGGAUUCUUGGUUGAUGUUUAUAAAACCGCUGCUGAUGAACUCGGAAAAAUACAUAUAAUUGCAGAUGAAAUGGUUCAGGGAGCGGUUUUUGAUCUUCCGGAAGAGAUUGCGAAAUAGCAACUGAACAAGGACUUGCCACCUGGCAACACUGUUACAAAAAUCACAAAGGUCAACUCAUUUCUUUUUUAUAGAUGAUCCAUGUCAUAGCGAGAGAGAUAUGACUGUUACACAGACUAAUCAGAUUCACCAAUGAUUUGCGAGUCUCAAGCAUUAUCUUUGACAAGUGUUGCAUCAUAAUCUCGCCAAUUAUUGAGAGAGUUGAUACGGUGAACAGAGGAAAGUGAAAGCGAAGAAGAAACCAGCAACAAAAAAGAGAGGCAAACAAGAUCGACAGUUAAGCAGCAGCGAAGAUGCAAUCAACACAUCCCCACUGGUCACUGUUCCCAGCUGCCACUAUUGGUCUACCUGGCUGCAGUGUGUGUGACACCCCAGGUAAACCAGUAAACGAUACAACUUACCUAGCUUCCUCAGUAACCGCAUGCUAAAUUUCGGGACGAAAUUUCUUUCAGGUUGGGGAUAAUGUGAUAACUUAAGUUUCCAAGAUUUCCUUAUUCACAUUUAUUGCGCGUUAACUGUUUAGUUGUUUGAUUUGGUUUGACUUGUAACUGUACACUGAAUAAUAAGAUGAGACAUUUAUUGAUAUA